rnacentral:tRNA from 1 species
UAGGAGUUAGUUUAAAACCAAAAUUUUGGCCUGUGGAGCCUGAGAUAAUCCCUAAGAUUACUUCUAU